AGCGAGCGCUGGCGGCAGGCCUAACACAUGCAAGUCGAACGAACUCUUCGGAGUUAGUGGCGGACGGGUGAGUAACACGUGGGAACGUGCCUUUUGGUUCGGAAUAACUCAGGGAAACUUGUGCUAAUACCGAAUGUGCCCUUCGGAGGAAAGAUUUAUCGCCAUUAGAGCGGCCCGCGUCUUAUUAGCUAGUUGGUGAGGUAACGGCUCACCAAGGCGACGAUCAGUAGCUGGUCUGAGAGGAUGACCAGCCACACUGGGACUGAGACACGGCCCAGACUCCUACGGGAGGCAGCAGUGGGGAAUCUUGCGCAAUGGGCGAAAGGCUGACGCAGCCAUGCCGCGUGAAUGAUGAAGGUCUUAGGAUUGUAAAAUUCUUUAACCGGGGACGAUAAUGACGGUACCCGGAGAAGAAGCCCCGGCUAACUUCGUG
rnacentral:rRNA from 1 species